rnacentral:rRNA from 1 species
CCUACGGGAGGCAGCAGUGGGGAAUCUUGCACAAUGGAGGAAACUCUGAUGCAGCGAUGCCGCGUGAGUGAAGAAGGCCCUUGGGUUGUAAAGCUCUUUCGUCGGGGAAGAAAAUGACUGUACCCGAAUAAGAAGGUCCGGCUAACUUCGUGCCAGCAGCCGCGGUAAUACGAAGGGACCUAGCGUAGUUCGGAAUUACUGGGCUUAAAGAGUUCGUAGGUGGUUGAAAAAGUUAGUGGUGAAAUCCCAGAGCUUAACUCUGGAACUGCCAUUAAAACUUUUCAGCUAGAGUAUGAUAGAGGAAAGCAGAAUUUCUAGUGUAGAGGUGAAAUUCGUAGAUAUUAGAAAGAAUACCAAUUGCGAAGGCAGCUUUCUGGAUCAUUACUGACACUGAGGAACGAAAGCAUGGGUAGCGAAGAGGAUUAGAUACCCUCGUAGUCCAUGCCGUAAACGAUGUGUGUUAGACGUUGGAAAUUUAUUUUCAGUGUCGCAGCGAAAGCGAUAAACACACCGCCUGGGGAGUACGACCGCAAGGUUAGAACUCAAAUGAAUUGACGG